rnacentral:lncRNA from 1 species
GAGUUUGGCCUUUUCUUCAGCACUGGGAAUUGUGAUCCAAAGCUUUUCCUGAUGAAGCACAAAGUUGGAGAAAAAAAAGCAAACUAAACAACAACAAUGAAACAGAACAGAGUUAAUCUGCUGUAGCUCAAGAGAGGACGUAGCUGCCCCCACUCCGCAUCCCUGGGCUCGGGUUUGCCUUGCUGACCUCUGCUGCCACCUGGUGCCACACAGAGAAACUGAGGAGAAACCACAUCAGUCUCCUUCAGCCUCAGCUUCACAUCUGUGGGUCAAGUAACCCUUUCAGAAGCUGAAUAAUGUGGGAAAGCUUUCCUCUCAGGAAAAUGCACACAUCCAACUUUGAGAAGAUGCCCUUGGGGGUGCUUCAAGGAUCCUAGAUAAAGAACCCCCUUUCCCGAACAUCCAAGAACCUAAGUUUUUUUUUUUUUUUUUGAGAAAGUCUCGCUCUCUCUCCCAGUCUGGAGUGCAGUGGCGUGAUCUUGGCUCACUGCAAGCUCCACCUCCCAGGUUCACGCCAUUCUCCUGCCUCAGCCUCCCGAGUAGCUGGGGCUACAGGCACCUGCCACCAAACCCGGCUAAUUUUUUUGUAUUUUUAGUAGAGACGGGGUUUCACCGUGUUAGCCAGGAUCGUCUUGAUCUCCUGACCUUGUGAUCCACCCGCCUCGGCCUCCCAAAUUGCUGGGAUUACAGAUGUGAGCCACCGCACCUGGUCCAAGAACCCAAGUUUUAGAUCUAGAGUGAUGUCAGCAUGACAUUGAUUUCCUGAGGCCCAGGGGCGAAGGAGCUGAGGACAGCAGAGGGGUGAAGGAACUCAGCUACAGACAGCAGCAGCUGAUGCACAGGGCUCCCAGCGCCUGAAGUCACCCGGAAUUGGGAAGUGCUCAGAAGCUUACAAAGCUGCCUCGAGGAACAGUAAGAGGACCUUGUGCAUGAAUAAUUUGUUUCCACACUGCAGAGUGGGUAAUAAGCAGAUUAGUAAAAACAAUUCUGCUUCACUUCAAUAACAGCCUCCUCCAACUCAUUUUUUCUCAACAAACUUAUUUUUGCAGCAGAAGAAUCCCAGACUUCUUAGAGAACCCAGUGACUUUUUGCACCUUAAAUCUGUGAAAUCCUCAUGCUUUCUUCUGCCGUAUCCAUCGUUCAAACAAACAUGAGGCAAAGCUAGACACAUUCCUGAAGGAACCCAAGAAAUUCCUCUCUUUCUCUCUCUGGAAUGAAAUGAAUUCUCUAGACCACCAGUUCUAACCUUCAAAAACCAAACCUGUUUGUGAGAUCUCCUUCAAAUACUACUGUAGACCCCAGUGUUUAUUCAUUAAAUUUUUUAAAUAUUUGUUUUAUUUGGAAUCAAAGUAUUUGUAAUUUUAGUAUUUGUAUUAAUAUAAGGGAGAAAUGUUUAAAUCUGUCUAUGCCACAUGUGCCUUCGGCUUAUUGCCCAAUUAAUUGUAGCCUCAGGCUAAACUUUGGUUUCUGUCUUUAAUUUUUGUCGGAAGAAAUAUAACUGGUCUCAAAACAUCUGCUUUUAUUGUAGGGACUCGUGCUGCCAUCUCCAUUCCUCUCUCUUUUCUUGCAAUCUGGGUGGAAGUUCUUUAAUAUGAACAUUUCAACCACCUUCACUCUACCAUGUCCACUAUCAGCACAUUCAAACGUAUCCAGCCAAGGGUAUCAUCUUAGGCCAGGGAUUUUUUAGGAAUCUAUUUUGCUGUGAUGCACCUGGUACCCCUUUGACUCACUUUAUCACCCCAGGGUUCUUUUCAUUUUAGAAGCCCAAGAGGGCAGAAAAAGAAGUAGGU